UAAUGUAUGGGGGUCUGCCCGAUAGAGGGGGAUAACUACUGGAAACGGUGGCUAAUACCGCAUAAUGUCUACGGACCAAAGCAGGGGCUCUUCGGACCUUGCACUAUCGGAUGAACCCAUAUGGGAUUAGCUAGUAGGUGGGGUAAAGGCUCACCUAGGCGACGAUCUCUAGCUGGUCUGAGAGGAUGAUCAGCCACACUGGGACUGAGACACGGCCCAG
rnacentral:rRNA from 1 species